rnacentral:lncRNA from 1 species
GAAACCCCAUUUCUACUAAAAAUACAAAAAAAUUAGCCGGGUGUGGUGGUGCCAUUGCACUCUAGCCUGGUUGACAAGAGUGAGACUCCAUCUCAAGAGAAAAAAAAAAAAAAAAAAAAAGUCUUUGCCCUUGAGUUUGGUAUUUACAGUUACAACUAAUCCAAUUCCACUUUCAGCUGAUGCUAUACCACUUCAUGGGUUGUACAAGUUCCCUCUAACAGAGUAUUCUCAGUUCAUCCUUAACUGUCCCUUAUGAUAUUGCUGUCAUUAAUUUCACUUAUUCAAAAGUGAAAUUAUUAUUAUUAUUUUUUUAAGACGGAGUCUCGCUCUGUCGCCCAGGCUGGAGUGCGGUGGCUCGAUCUCGGCUCACUGCAAGCU